GACGAACGCUGGCGGCGUGCUUAACACAUGCAAGUCGAGCGGAAAGGCCCUUCGGGGUCCUCGAGCGGCGAACGGGUGAGUAACACGUGAGUAACCUGCCCCAGACUUUGGGAUAACCCUCGGAAACGGGGGCUAAUACCGGAUACGACACAGCUUCGCAUGGGGUCUGUGUGGAAAGUUUUUCGGUUUGGGAUGGGCUCGCGGCCUAUCAGCUUGUUGGUGGGGUGAUGGCCUACCAAGGCGACGACGGGUAGCCGGCCUGAGAGGGCGACCGGCCACACUGGGACUGAGACACGGCCCAGACUCCUACGGGAGGCAGCAGUGGGAAAUAUUGCACAAUGGGCGGAAGCCUGAUGCAGCGACGCCGCGUGAGGGAUGACGGCCUUCGGGUUGUAAACCUCUUUCAGCAGGGACGAAGCGUAAGUGACGGUACCUGCAGAAGAAGCGCCGGCCAACUACGUG
rnacentral:rRNA from 1 species